rnacentral:rRNA from 1 species
GACGAACGCUGGUGGCGUGCUUAACACAUGCAAGUCGAGCGGAGCGGCUCACGGGUGAGUAACGCGUGAGUAACUGCCCCCCUCUCUGGGAUAACCAUUGGAAACGGCUGCUAAUAUCGGAUAGUGGGGGAUGACUCGCGUCCUAUAAGCUUGUUGGUGGGGUAGUGGCCUACCAAUGCGACGAAGGGUAGCCGGCCUGGGAGGGCGACCGGCCAAAGUGGGAUGAGAUACGGCACAAACUCCUAAGGGAGGCAGCAGUGGUGAAAAUUGCACAAUGGGGGAAACCCGGAUGCAGCAACGCCGAGUGCGGGAUUAGUGCCUUCGGGUUGUAAACCGCGUUCUGCCAUGACGCGGUAGUGGCAGAAGAAGCACCGGCUAACUACGUGCCAGCAGCCGCGGUAAUAC